rnacentral:rRNA from 1 species
GACGAACGCUGGCGGCGUGCUUAACACAUGCAAGUCGAACGGAAAGGCCCUGCUUUUGUGGGGUGCUCGAGUGGCGAACGGGUGAGUAACACGUGAGUAACCUGCCCUUGACUUUGGGAUAACUUCAGGAAACUGGGGCUAAUAACGGAUCGGAGCUCCUGCUGCAUGGUGGGGGUUGGAAAGUUUCGGCGGUUGGGGAUGGACUCGCGGCUUAUCAGCUUGUUGGUGGGGUAGUGGCUUACCAAGGCUUUGACGGGUAGCCGGCCUGAGAGGGUGACCGGCCACAAUGGGACUGAGAUACGGCCCAGACUCCUACGGGAGGCAGCAGUGGGGAAUAUUGCACAAUGGGCGGAAGCCUGAUGCAGCAACUCCGCGUGCGGGAUGACGGCCUUCGGGUUGUAAACCGCUUUCGCCUGUGACGAAGCGUGAGUGACGGUAAUGGGUAAAGAAGCACCGGCUAACUACGUG